GCUGGGGCUCAGUGGCAGAGCACUUGCCUAGCAUGUGUGAGGCACUGGGUUCGAUUCUCAGCACUGCA
rnacentral:tRNA from 1 species